AAAAAAGACGAUGCAACUCGGCUUUACUCACUCGUUGAAACUCGCAGAUAUGAAAUUCAGUCAACGGGAAGUUCAUAAAUGAUGCUACGAGUACAUUCCUAUGAGAACAUUCGCGAGCCUCGAAAACGUUUUAUUUGCAUGAAAUUUUGGUUUACUGAAAUUGGGAUAUUUACGUAAAUGUUGUAUUCUACAUUUGCAUUUCUCCAAUUAAUCAAUGCACGGUCGGCCUCAGAAUUCGAGUAGCAAUUUUGCAAAACUAUUGCAUC